rnacentral:snoRNA from 1 species
GGCCGUUGAUGUAAGUUAAUAUUUGCUACUCUUGAUGGGAAUUAAAGCAUACAUUCUCAUUUGAUGAUUCUUUAACCACCAAGAUCUCUGAGGCC